rnacentral:rRNA from 1 species
AGAGUUUGAUCCUGGCUCAGGACGAACGCUGGCGGCGUGCUUAACACAUGCAAGUCGAACGAUGAAGCCUUCGGGUGGAUUAGUGGCGAACGGGUGAGUAACACGUGGGCAAUCUGCCCUGUACUUUGGGAUAAGCCUGGGAAACUGGGUCUAAUACCGGAUAUCACCGGUCCUCGCAUGGGGGUUGGUUGAAAGUUCUGGCGGUACAGGAUGAGCCCGCGGCCUAUCAGCUUGUUGGUGGGGUAAUGGCCUACCAAGGCGACGACGGGUAGCCGGCCUGAGAGGGUGACCGGCCACACUGGGACUGAGACACGGCCCAGACUCCUACGGGAGGCAGCAGUGGGGAAUAUUGCACAAUGGGCGAAAGCCUGAUGCAGCGACGCCGCGUGAGGGAUGACGGCCUUCGGGUUGUAAACCUCUUUCGCCAGGGACGAAGCGCAAGUGACGGUACCUGGAUAAGAAGCACCGGCUAACUACGUGCCAGCAGCCGCGGUAAUACGUAGGGUGCAAGCGUUGUCCGGAAUUAUUGGGCGUAAAGAGCUCGUAGGCGGUUUGUCGCGUCGUUCGUGAAAACUCCACGCUUAACGUGGAGCGUGCGGGCGAUACGGGCAGACUUGAGUUCGGUAGGGGAGACUGGAAUUCCUGGUGUAGCGGUGAAAUGCGCAGAUAUCAGGAGGAACACCGGUGGCGAAGGCGGGUCUC